UAAUGUGCUGGCUUAAAAGGGACAAUAUCUUAUUCUGUGACAGACAGUCAGGUUAGAUCGAGUCACGUUCGAAAUGACAGAAUGUCGUGUUAGGUCGAGUCAUGUUUGAACUUUGAAGUGGCGUAGGCUAGUUGGAUCAAGUCACAAUCGAAACCCAUAAAUGCUGUAUUUAUUUGCUUUAAGUGAUUUGAUUAGCACCAACAAUCC
rnacentral:lncRNA from 1 species